rnacentral:lncRNA from 1 species
UCCUGUAUCCUAAUGAUCUCUGAUGCUGGUUAGUUGUUUUCUUUUUUUUUUUUUUUUCUGUUGUUUUUAUUUUGUUGGUUUUUUUGUUUUUGUUUUUAAAGGGUGGAUCAUACUCACAGAACUAUGGUGGUGGCCAAGUAAGUAGUACUGUAUUUCACCAAUUACACACCACUUCCUACAACCUUUAGCUUCUUCUUAAAAUUGUUUUGUAUCUUUCUCUGUAAUGUAACUUUCUCUCAUGUUUGUUGGUUGGUUUGUUUUAAAGGGUGGAUCAUCUUCUCAAAACUAUGGUGGCAGCCAGGGUGGAUCAUACUCACAAAACUAUGGCGGUGGCCAGGGUGGAUCAUCCUCCUCCGACAGCUAUUAUGAUAGUCAGGAUUCACAGGAUUUCUCAGAUGAUAAUCCCAAUGCCUGUGAUGAUGUGAGUAUGCUUUCUCUAAUAUAUUUUCAUCACAACUCUAUUCAUAUAGAUGAGA